UCUUUUUAUCUUCGAAAUUUGUCGCUUCUUCAAUCCAGAAUCUGCUUGCUGCUAAUCUACUAGCCGUACUUGUGUUUGUUUUUCUUUUUUAUUGAAAUUUUUUUACAUGCAUGUCUACAAUUCUGCCUUAUUGGGAUUGACUGUUUCAAAAUAAAUACGUGCGUACACAAAUUUGUAUUUCUGAUUUUGGUUGUGUAAAUUAGUAUGUAUGGGGUGAAAGGAGACUUUUCUUGAAUUUGUUUUUCUCUAAAUCCACCGUUGCAAUACACAUGGCCCUAAGAUCCAGGAUCGACCAGAUAACAACCGACACUCCUGAUUGGACAUGUAAGAUCUAGAUCGUUGACAUCAGUUGAGAGAGAAAUUAUCUCUGAUAAUUGUUUUACUGCACAGAGGAAUGCUAUUCAAGCUGCCACAAACUUUGCACAAAGGAAUAAGCUGUCGGCAACCAUUAAUCUGGUUGGCUUCACUUGAUCUCUUUGAUGUGCGAAGCUCGAUGACAUUCUUAGCCACCAACUCUUCAACAAUUGCAGAGAUAUUUUUGGCAACAUCUUUAACAGAGACAUGGCUGGAGAGGUUGUCAAGGUUUCGAUCGACAUAUCCUUCAUGAAAGCUUCAGUGGUGCUCUAAGACUGUUACAUUCCAAACAGAUUUGCCUUGCACUGCUUGUGGUAUAUGCACUUCCAGCGAUUUGUUUAGUUUUUUUGUUCUUUUGGGUGUGUGUUUUGUCGGGGGGAGGGGGAGGGGGAGGGGGAGGGAAGGGUGCGGGAAUCUAAAUAGAAAAUCAGUAUGUCUUAAGUACUGUUAUCCAUACAUGACCAUUGAAGUACCUCUGAGUUAUCAAAGUCUGUUAUUCACGAGAUCAAAGUCUGUUAUUCCUGAUAAAGAACAAGAUAUUAAAUAAGUUACUGUUGGGUGUUGUGCGAUAGCUUGGACAGGUGAUAUCUUGCGAAUUCGUUUGUAAAAGUUUGUCUAGCCCCUUUUAACCUAUAAAAUUUGGUCAAAGUAAUCCACACUUGCUAGCUCAUAUUAGCGAAACAAACUUCACUCUACUUGUUACUUACUGUAGUCCCUUCUUUCUCCCUCCAUUGCCUCUUUUAGGUAGAACUGGUGUGCCUCCUGGUACUAAACCUGAAACUUGUAAGCGCUGCAAAGGUUCUGGUGUGAUGAGUACCUCUUUGCUUAUUUUCAUUCUUUACUUUCAGCCACAUGCAUGCUUCUUUGUGUAUAAUGUUAUUCCUUUUAUCUUGUAUUUUCUCUUUAGUCAAUCUCUCAAACUCUCUCAAACUGGCACUUUCACCCUUCGAAAAACUUGUCCUUCAUGCAAAGGAACAGGGAAAAUUGUAUCGGUAUGACAUCCUGUCUACAGAAAGCAGAAUUGUUAGUUAUGCAUGCAUAUAACUGGUUUUGGUCAAAGUAAAAAGUAACUGGUGUUGAUCUUUGCCUUUUUCUAUGUGGGAAAUGGUCAUUGUACUUAGUUUGCUUUGUAAAUAGGUAUGGUUAUUGUCCUAGACUUAAAAGAUGUCAUGAGCAUCACAGAAGGAAUCUUUAAUUUCACUAACUUCAUCCCAGUUGGGCAAGAAUAAUGUGUAUAUCCAUUGCAUAUUCUUAGAAGUUUGUUUUGAUCUCUCCC